UCUGGCUUAUCUCACUUAGCAUGAUGCCCUCCAGGUCCGUCCAUGUUGUCACAAAUGACACGAUUUCCUUCUUUCUCAUGACUGAAUAACAUUCCAUUUUGUAUGUGUACACCACAUCUUCCCCCACCUAUUUCUGAGAAUCCCGGGUUGAUGCUUAUGUGUUCCAGAAAUCUGAGCUGUUUGCCAGAGCAUCCAGCUCACUUAUGGCUCUCUGCCCAGGGCCACUCUUUGCUGGAUUCCACCCCUGACCCAACAAGCUUCUUGAAGCUGUCUCCUUCACCUUCCCCUCCGUCCCAGGCCUGGGAUAGACCCUUCUCUUAUGUCUCCACAUUACGUCAGAAACCAAACGGCAAUUUUAGAAAAACUUUUACCUCCAGUAAGAGGUAAGAGUAGGGAAACCGUGAAAUGAGUAACUUGAAAUGGCUAAUCUCAAAGCUCUGGGCUCAGACCAGCUUUCUGGGUCUGUUGCAGUUGGCCUCCCUGUCUCUCUCCAGCCUGCUUACUGUGGCAGGGCUCGGCUCCCCACCUGCCCCUAUUCCCAACACCACCCUGUACACAUGGCCACCUCAACGUCCGUGUCAAGUGCCAUGAAUUCCCAGCCAAACAAGGCCUUCUCCUUUCUAGGAGUUUCAUGUCUGCCUGUUGUGAGAUUUGCCCCUUUCAGGAUGAGUGACAAGGAAAAUAUCUACUCCCUUUAGAGGAAACUCUCCCUUCUCCCCCAGACCAUUGUAGCCUUGUUCAUGGACUCCCAAGAAGACAAUAUUAGGAGGUUAGAGUCCAAAGCAGUAUAUUCUGGAAUUUUCGGUCCUGGCGUGUUUGGAACAUUAGGAGUCCAGUUAUUCAUGAGCCACACAGAUUUCAAUCCAGCGCCUGUGUCUUCCCCUGUAAGAGAACACUGGGCCACACAUUCUUUCACAGGUUACCUCUGUCUCCACCCCUCAGCCUCAAGAAGGAACCUUACACCUACCACCGGCAAGCCACAGGGCAUCAGUCCAAGUUCUCACAGGGAAAGGAUCACUUCUCCCCCUUCUACGAGCACAGAUUAUAACAUAGUUCUGGCUAAAACAUACACUUAACAGUGCAUGUGACCAAAUGGAACAGUUGAAGUCAGGUUAUUUAAAUGGUGAAAGAACCCCGGUAGCUGUGUGUUUUAUAUUAUAGUUAAAGGUCCGUCCAAAGAAGUUUCCUAAGCAAAACAAUGGUCUGCCUUGAAUGUGAAUUCAUAUCUCGACUCCUAGAAUCAGAAACUGCUUAGAAAUUUUAAGUCAUAGUUUUCCCAGUUUUUAUACAUUAAUGUAUCCAAUAAAAAAUUCUAGGGCACUUGCUUCUAUUUCCUGAAUCAGCCUAUCAAACAAGUGGAUAUAAAGGCCAGAUUAUGUUAAGAACUCUUGGGAGAUAAGUCUUCAAGAAAUUAUCAAGUGUCUCUCCAUCACUUUACUCCUUGUCAUCCUACCUAUUCCCACUGAUAUACAGACACAUAAAUAAUACCAUUUGCGACUUAUAUCAUGCCACCAAUGGUGCCAUAAUGCCAUUCUUGGAUUUAGCAUUAAUGGUGUUGACCACUCUUGAGUUAUCCCGGAGUUUCUGAUGUGUAGCGAGGAGUGAUUUUGCUGAGGUGAGAAACUGAGUCAGGUGUGCAGAAAAGCAGGUGUGUGAGUGCUGGUCAGUGCACCUAGCCAUCACCCAGCCUGCAUGUCCAUGAGAGUGAGGCUCUGUGCUUCUCUAUUCCUGACACCGGUGCACAACUCUUACAUAGGGUCUGAAGCAGUCCCCCAGAGUUUUCAGUUAUUUUGUUACAUUUCAUGGGGGUAAUGAUAGAAUAUUGUGACAUUAUUGACUUUCGGGAUUUGCUAUGAUCUCAGGAACAUAAUCCUUGCAAAUGAUAAAUCUACCAUAACAUAGUAACAACAGGGGACACUUGAAGACCUUGAGUGCUGGACUUAUCCUGACUUUUCCAACCUUGCUUCUGCAGAUGAGGUCAUAAAUCAAGACGAAUCUCUAUAAGAAGUGUAUGUUGUGGGAUCAUGUAAUGUAUACUCAUUUUGUUUUGGUUGUUUACUUGUUAAAGAGACACAGAGUCAAAACAAAUUCCCCCGGUCAAUAAGAUCCUGAUGUGAGUCUUUCUAUCCACCCCAUACCGCCAUCAAUUCUGAAGGUGAGGAAUCGUAACACAUCUUAAGAACAAAUUUAGAAAAAGGAAAAAGAAGAGAGGGUGGGUGGGAAAGUGGAGCAGCUUACAUGCCAUUUACUGCCAGGAUCGUGCAAGAAAAUAGCUAAAAAAACCCCAAAGGCCUCUAUGGAGACACAUGGUAUGGCAUGGGUGGUUCUGGACUUGAGCUGUUAUAGAUUGGCUCUUGAAGAGUCCAGCUACAACUUGGGUUUAGGCAGAAAUGCGGCCAUGGGUUCUCAGCAAUUACAGUGCCUCUUUACUUUGUGCUGUCACCAGAACAGAAUUUAAGUUCAUGGCCUUUCUUUUUAUUUUAAGCACUCGUAAUAGAGAGGGGGAGAGGGAAGGUAGGAAGAGACUCAACAAAGUAUGGUAGCUAGAAUGCAAAACUGAAUUCUUUUUUCUAUUUUACUCCAAAUAAUUAAACACAUACAGGCAAAGAAGCCUGUGUCAUAGAUUUAGUAAAAAAUAAAACCAAAAAGAAACUCAAAAAACAAAGAGCCAACGGUAUACAGUCGCCACAGUAUAUGUCAACAGUACAAAAGAACAGCUUUUUAUAAACUGAAAUAGAAAACAAAGUUACUUUUCUUUGAUCCAAAUAAUUAAACCCAGAUAGCAAAAUGGCUUAUGUCAUAAAUUUAAUAAAAGCAAAAACGAAAUCUAUAAACUAAAAUCCCAGUAACAUUAAAAAGCAGGAGAGGAGCUGAGAUUCUGAAGACACAGCCACAGUGCAGGCAACCAGGAGCCUGGUAAGAGAGUGAGAUGAGCAGAUUUGUGUAACCACCGGGAACCAUCGGCCUCGAAGAUGAUCCUGACCCUUUUCCCAUUUCCAAAGAUCCCAUGUUCCAGGUCAUUCGCAAAUAAUGAAAUUUCUCGUCGUGUUCAAGAGGGCGACUUGGUUGCUGUGAAAUAAUAGUGCUAGUAUUUGCUCUUUGACUCUGGUUCCUGACGCUGAGCUCCUAAAUCUCUUGGGACUUCCUGGGUGGUAGGAUUCAGAGAGCUUCUGGGAUGUGGAUACAUGCAUGUUUGGGGAGAGUGCUGUGCCCAGAGAGGACGUGGAGGCUCUGCAUCCCUGCCACAUACCUUGUCCUAUGCAGCAGUUCCAUCUGGAUGUCCACCUGUAGCCUUUAUCAUAUCCUGUUAUAAUAAACUGGUAACCAGUAAGUAAACUGCUUUCCCAAGUUUUGUGAGCUGCUCUAGCAAGUUAAUCAACUCUGAGGAGGAAGUCAUGGGAGCCUCCAAUUUAGUCCAGAACCUGGACUUUCGACUGGGAUCUGAAGUGGGGAUGGGGCAGUCUUGUGGGACUGAGACGUUCUGUCUCUGGGUAGAUAGUGUCAGAAUUGAGUUCAACUGUAGGACACCCAACUGGUCUUGCAGAAUUGCGUGGUGUGGGAAAAUCCGCUACACGUCUGGUAUCAGAAGUGUUCGGAGUGUGGUAGACCUGUGAGAGUAAAGGAGGAACACAGGAGGGAGAGUGAAUUUUUCCUACUCAGUCGCCAUAGAGCUGCCCCACCUCCUUAGAGCUGAACUGGCUCCAGUUGAGAGACCCUGGAAGGGAUGCAGCUGGGUUCCACCUGUGGCCACCUCCCUAAGGAAUCAGGCAGGUAGAAGAAGAUGAAGCGUGGCAUCCCACUUCUAUUCAGACACCUGCUGGCUUCUGGAACCUCUGCCCAGUCACUAAAGGACGCCAUCGUUUUGUCUCCACCAUCUCGGAUCUGUUCCUAGACCACUUCCACCCUACUCCUUCCCAGUCUUCUCGUGUGUGACCUAACAUAUUUUGGGACCGUUUUAUGAACAUGCAUUCUGUCUUCUGUUCAAUUAGAACCUCCUUGAGUUCUCCCAUUCGUCUGGCCUACGUAAGUGCUCAACAAAUAUUGCUUGAAAUAACACGUUCAGAUUCUUCCACCAGCUCCGCUAGUUGUCAGCCGCCUUUAGUAAAUAGACCAAAGGUGGCGAGUCGGGCCACCAAACUGCAAGUCGGGCAGUUUUCUUUGGCACAGUCUCCUUGUCACUGAUCCUUAAUGUCCCAUGCCUGGUGGUCCCCCGGCCACUUUUAAGAGCUGUUACUUGUUACCCCUUUUUCAGUAUUCUGCUUGACAAAAAUCACACCUCCAGAUUUACUCCUAAAACUCUGAUACCACCUGCAUCUACCACACACACCAGUCUUUGAUGAUUGGAAAGAGAGCCCCAAGGCCCUACAGAGUCAAAGAAACAUCCGUCAGUGUUCAGUAGAUUAUAAUUUACGUUCUUUAACUUUCCCCAUUAGGAGCAGUUUUGCCCAAAGGCAACACAGGGAACAAAAACUGAGGCUCCUGACUUUUCUAAACUUUGUUGCUUGUUCCUUCUUCUCUCCCCCUCUUUGAGCCCUGAGGCACAGGGGAAGUGAGAAAGGGCUGGGGGGAGGGCGGAAUUCUAGGCUUCACAGUCCAGAGCCUGGCUCUGGGGCAGGUGAGCAGAUGUAGAUCCCCUGCCCCUUGUGGAGUUUGGACCUGGGAAGCGACCCAGUUUGCAGCUCCAUCUUGAGCGGCUCGCUCACAGAGUGGGCCGCUCUGUUGGGAGGUGUGGUGAUGGCCAAAACCCAAAUUACUGUCUUAGAGCUCAAACUCUUCAGGGUGAGGGUGCUACCAGGGUGCGGGUGACUGCGAGCUAUGCUCAGGAAAACCCAGGGAGAUCUAAUGGAAUCGUGGCCACGCAGAGGUGUGCAAGGCAGAGCCAGCCCAGCCGGAAGUGGCAUCCCCACCCCUUCCACAGCCUCCCCAUGCACUUUCUCUCUUCUCUGCACCCUCUGUAUUAGCAGAUGGCACCAGCUUAAAUGCUGGUCAUUUGGGGGGACCCCUGACUUAGGCCCCAAAUUAUGUCUCAUAUUUUUGCUCCUUCCCUUCUCUUAGAUCAUCCCAGAUGGUUUACAAAGAAGUUAUGCUGUAUAUAGAAGUUCUGACUAAUACAAAUAACUUCCUGCUUUCUAAUUUUCACACAAUUUAAACCAAACCCAGAAUUUCCACAGCAUUCCUGAACCAUGGAUAGUUCAGGAGGCUUAGUUGUGGAUAGUUAAAGGGACUCCUGACAAGCGAUAAAAGUCUCCAACCCCCUCUCUGCCAAAGUGAUGGUGGACUAAUGUAAGUAGGAAAAAUUUUAAAUUCACAGUGCUAGGCAGUCUCUGGGAUGUGGCACCCAGCUAUAAGGAUAUUUCAAAGCCCUUCGGGUGAUUCAGUACGCAGCUAAGUUUUCAAACCAAUGUUUUGGAAAGACUUUCAAGAAAGAUUGAAACUCAGAAGGAUUUCUGAUGAAAUCCUAUUGAGGGUUUCCAUUGUACCAUGUCAAAAAUCCUUUUAACCAAAACAGAGACUUUGUAAUAGUGGCACGUCCUGUGGUUCUUCAAGACAACAAACUACAGUCCCUGUCAGAUGUUCUUAAAACAGUCCUCAAGAAGUUAAAAGUAGAAUUUCCAUGUAAUUCCCAAAUCCACUGCUGUGUAUAGACCCAAAAGAAUUGAAAGCGGGGACUCAAGUGGAUAUUUGUACACCCAUGUGUAUAGCAGCAUUAUUCAUAAUAACCAAAAGAUAGAAGCCAUCCAUUGAUAGCGAUCCUUCGAUAGAUGAAUGGACAGACCAAUGUGGUAUAUACACACUGCUAAACUUAUUAAACAAGGAUGCUAUUAGACAGAAGUGGCCAUAAUGCCUGGGCAGCCUACAUAAGCAAACCAGAACUUAGGCCUGUAAAUGCUUCCAGGUUAAGAAAUCAAAACCAAAGGACAGUGAAGCGCAAAUAACCAACUAGACUUUCCCAAAUAAUGCAACCACUUAAGCCAGCGCCAGUCAAAUAAUUUCCUUGCCUUCCUUCCACAUUUGCUCUCUGAAAGUCUUUCCUCAGCUCUUGUAGGUGGAGCACUCUUAACCGCUUCUGCUUUGUCGCUGCCCAAUCCAAUCUAUGUUUGCUCAAAUAAAAUCUUAAAACUUUUCAA